CUGCCACUGAGGAGUCCCAUAAUAGGACGAAACAGUCGUCCAGUGCUUGCAG
rfam:Schistosoma mansoni strain Puerto Rico chromosome 3, complete genome